rnacentral:tRNA from 1 species
GCGGGGGUGGUUCAGUGGUAGAACGCCACCUUGCCAAGGUGGAUGUCGCGGGUUCGAAUCCCGUCCCCCGCUCCA